GAUUAACGCUGGCGGCGUGCCUAACACAUGCAAGUCGAACGAGGUAGCAAUACCUAGUGGCAGACGGGUGAGUAACGCGUGGUCAACCUACCGUUGAGUGGGGGAUAACUAGCCGAAAGGUUAGCUAAUACCGCAUACGUCUCCGAGGGGCAUCCCUUGGCGAUAAAAGGAGCAAUCCGCUCGAUGACGGGACCGCGUCCCAUUAGCUAGAUGGUGGGGUAACGGCCUACCAUGGCACCGAUGGGUAGCUGGUUUGAGAGAGCGACCAGCCACACUGGGACUGAGAAACGGCCCAGACUCCUACGGGAGGCAGGCAGUGAGGGAAUUUUCCGCAAUGGGCGCAAGCCUGACGGAGCGACGCCGCGUGUGGGAAGAAGGCCUUC
rnacentral:rRNA from 1 species